rnacentral:rRNA from 1 species
GACGAACGCUGGCGGCGUGCUUAACACAUGCAAGUCGAACGAAAAGGCCCGGCUUUUGUGGGGUGCGCGAGUUACGAACGGGUGAAUAACACGUGAGUAACCUGCAAUUGACUUUGGGAUAACUUCAGGAAACUGGGGCUAAUACCGGAUAGGAUCUACUGCUGCAUGGUGGGGGUGGGAAGGUUUAGGCAGUUGGGGAUGGACUAGCGGCUUAUCAGCUUGUUGGUGAGGUAGUGUCUUACCAUGGCUAUGACGGGUAGCCUGCCUGAGAGGGUGAGCGGCCAAAUCGGAAUGGAACUGAGGCACAGACCAGAAUGGGACGCAGCAGUGGGGAAUAUUGUAUAAGGGGCGGAAGCAUGACGUAGUAAAGCAGCGUGGGGUAUGACGGGCUUCGGUUUGGAAUGUGAAUUCGCCUUUGACGAAGUGUGAGUGACGGUAACGGGUAAAUAAGCACCGGCUAACUCCGUG